rnacentral:rRNA from 1 species
GACAGAGGUGCCAAGCGUUAGGCGGAAUCACUGGGCUUAAAGCGUGUGUAGGCGGAUUCCUAAGUACCUUGUGAAAUCCCACGGCUCAACCGUGGAACUGCUUGGUAUACUGGGUGUCUUGAGCUACUUAGGGGCGACUGGAACAAAUGGUGGAGCGGUGAAAUGCGUAGAUAUCAUUUGGAACGCCAAUGGUGAAAACAGGUCGCUGGGGAGUAUGCUGACGCUGAGACACGAAAGCCAGGGGGAGCGAACGGGG